GGAGGGCGCGCCUCUCCUUCCGCUUCCCCUCGGCUGCGCGUGUGCAGGAAGGGAGACCGUCUGGCGGGAGAGGCUUUUUGCUGGAUGGCGAGAGCUGGGGCCCCUGUGACUUUGGUUCUCACGUGUGGGUGGAGGUGUUUGUGGACGAUUUCGGAUGGCCAAUCUGGAAAAGAAGCGCCCAACAUGAUGACAAUGGGGUCAUCCCCAUUCUGGCAACAGCCAGAAACAGGUGCUGGCAAUGCGUCAGAGUGGAGACCAGUGGGUGCAACCCCUCAAGCCAGAGAGAUCAACAGGAUAAAUGAGAGAGUGCGUGCACAUGGGAGGAAGAAUGGGUGGGUCCACACUGUCACCAGAAUGACCUGAUCUCAAUAGCUCAGAUACGUGCACGCGCACGUGGGGCAGAGUGCAUACGAAAUACCGUUAUGUCGCUUUCCCAAUGACAGGAGAGAAGGGCUGGUUACAAUGACACUGGGAAUGAAGGUAACAGCCGAGAUGGGAUGAACUGGGGCACGAACACAAGGAAGGAAAACGGGGAAAGCUCCCUGAAAAGAAAUAUAAAUAAAUAAAGCAGUAAGUCAUGUUCACUAAUAGGAACACGGGCCACACACAGACCGUGACAGGGCGUGUCCUUUGGCUCUCAAGUGGGAAUCCCGUGUCUCAGCUCUUUUCUUUCAGUGGGGGGCUGGCUGGUAACUUUGGUUUGUCUGUGUUUUGGUAAUGAUUGCUGCCGGGGGGUGACUACUGUUCUCAGACAAGAAGCAUAAACAAGGCCAAAGUCCCCUUAGAGUUUAAACUGAAGUAUUACAACACAGUUUUCAAAUGAAAGUGCUUUGGACUCUUGGCUAUUUGUGGGAGAGGGUGCGGAGAGGUUAAAUGAAAGGAAACCCAGCAACAAAAACGUACAGCAUACGUUGACUAUAUCCAAUUACAAAACGCAAAACGCUUGUUUUUUUUCUCAAUAGUUAACAUAUAUAUGCUUUUACAUAUAUACAUAGUAUACUCCUCAAGGCUCUCUCCCGGCCUCCCCUGUACACUGUGCCACUUAACUCGUUUCCAUUUUCCUUUAUUUCAGCCUGGUGAAAAUUUUCUCAAGUCGUGCCGUUGCAACUAAGAACAGAGCAUUCCCUAGAUGAAACUCAACACGCGUAUGCCGAAAAGCAUGAGGUUUUGCUCCAGGAGCAUCGGAAAAGCGCUCAGACGAUGAGCAAGGAAGCCCUGCGAAUGCCCUGCUUGUGUGCUACUGGCUGCUUCCUCGGGGCCGUGGGGUCCCUGGCGGAGCGGCCGGCAACUUACUGCUCAGAGGUGGCCCGGGGCGGGGCGCGGGGGGUGGGGUGGGGGGGGACAACCGUGCGGUCUCCCCUCCAACAACAACAAACCCAAAACAACGAAAUUUGGAGAUGCAGUGGGACAUUCUUUCACAAAGUAGCUUCUAUCAGUCCUGUUUGAUUUUCUUUAAUAAGUCUGUUCUUUUCAAAUGACUUAAUGAUUGUCAGAAUUUUACCGAGGGCCAAGUGUACUGUGAUCUCAGUGAGUUAUGGUGUUUU